CCGCAGCCCCGGCCCGGCCUCUCCGGACACUUUGCAGAGUUACCGCAGGGAGAGAGCUCUGCCAGGCGCGGGCAGGAGCUGCGGGAAACGACGUCCUUCCAACAAGUAAAUCAUCCCCGGGGGAAGAGGAGGGACCAGAGCUACGCCGGGACAGCCCAUAAAGCGCGAGCUGGGAUCCUGGAGAAGCUGCCGCUCACCCAAAUAGUGGGACUUCUAGAGAUGCGGUGCUUGUAAAGCAGAAGGACCUCCAGGAGGAUGAGGGGGCAGGAACAAGGCAGAAGGAAGUGCUGGCUUUCUAGGACACAGCCACCCACAGGCUCCUCCAGACACCUUCUCAACAGCAAGGCCAUGGCCAGGGGAAACCUGACAUUUCAUCCUCCUCCCAUCAUUCACAGCACAGGCUUUUCAGAGUCUAUGCUGUGAUGGAGAGGCAGGAGGUAGGACAUAAAAGGAGGGGGAAGGUCUGGGGGUUUGCAUACAGUUGUGCUCCUGCACCUCAUUGCAGUUGUCUGUGACAAGGCAGGACUCAACUGAGCAGCACUGUGAAGUUCAGAUUUGCUACUGCACAUCAACCAAGUGAUACUGGAGCUGCUGCACAGCAGCCCUGAUGGAACAGGACAACAGCCUCCCUGCAGCUGCCCAAGCUCACCCAUGGCCACAAUGCCACAACAGCAUCAUGGCUUUGCAAGAAGUCACAAGAGAAGGUGAGUGUUCAAGCUUCAACAUCUUUAUUAAAGCAGACAGCAGGUAAUCCAGAACCCCACAAGAGAAACUGAGUGUUCAAACUUCAAAAACACUUUAUUCAAGCAAACAGCAGGUAAAUCCAGAAACAGUUUAGCACCCCACAGCAGUCAGAUGCCAGCAGUGAGCAAGGCAUCCCAACAUCCCAGUAGUCACAGCUGUGCUGCCUAGCCAGGAGACAAGCUUUGUCUUUUGUCUCUCUCUGCUGGCUAUAAAGCACAAGAUUAAGUUUGCAAUCAAGAUGCAUGCAAACACCACAGUGAGGACUCCCAGACAGCAGCUCUUAGAUGCCAUCCAGAAAAACGUCACUAGAAACUAGAAUGUCAGAGAAAACAUUAACACAGACACGGCCGUAGGAAGUUAGAGAGUUAAGAGAAGUUAAGGAAGAACAACAAGUUGCACAAGCCUGGGCAUCAGGUUUCUAGAGACCGAUGAAAAUCCAGCCCUCCAAGCUGGUGAGCACUGAGCUCAGUAACUAGGCUGGGGGCCAGUCCCUGCCCUUUCCUUGUAGAGCUCCAGCUGAACAUGUUCCUUCCCUCAAGGACUACUGCUGGGCCUCAGGUCACUCACUCAGGUUAGGUUUACAUGCCAGAUUGAACUGCAGAGUUUAGGUUAAAACUAAGCUGUGGGUUAGAUUUAAAUGCCAAAUCAAACUGCAAAGAACAACCAACAGCCCCUGGGAACAGGCAGUGCAGUUUAGCAGAUGUGUUAGCAGGUGUCACACAUCAGCAGUGCUCAGCUUCAGGUCACAUAGCAGAGUGGCACCAUUAGAGAGCUGACACUGAUUUUCCUCCCUCCAUUCAACACCCAAGGGGGCAAGACUGGAAUUUCCAGCCAGAACUGGAGAGUGAGCAGCCCAUGCCCACACACCAGCACCCUCCCAGUGCCACAGCAGGCCAGCCUCUCUAAGUGCUACAUGUACCCAUCCAGAGCAGUGACCAGAGCCCUCCAGACAGCUAUGAGCCCCAAGCCCUGCAUUCACCUUUAAUUCCUCAGGUCUUUGUAACUAAUUUGAAGGAAAUUUACAACACCACAGAGCACACAGUCUAACUUGACUAGUUUCCACUAAACACUCAAGCACCACUCUUGUGACUGAAGGCAGGAAGCCAAUUCAAGACAGCACAGCUAUUUGAAACGGUUCAGCCUAUGGAGGAGGAAGUGUCUAAGGAUGUACAUAACAGACUGAAGAUUGUAUCUGCAUCACCACAGGAGAGUGAAAAAAUAGGACUGCAGGAAAUUAAUCCAUGUUAGAUACUAACCAUCAAGCUUCGCAGAUGACAUUGCGUGAUAAGCAUAGAACAAUUAUGGGAAACACUGUCCCCGAUAAUUAAGUACACCCAUAGUGCAACAUAUGGAGGUCACUGCCUCCGAUAUAACACUGUGGUAGGCAAAAACUACCUUGUUCUUUACACAUUAUGGGAGACACUGCCCCCGAUAAUGUCAGUUAGGUUUCAUGAUACAUAAGGUACUGGAAGUUUGCAGGAAGCUGCCUUUUGAAAAUCGUGCCAAUGCCUAAUCUGACGUACAGGGAGUUUCUGUGUGUUGCCACAGGUGGAACUAGGGCUACACAGCAAGGCCCUCUGCUGGGACUAGGGCUAGGAAGGAAGCUGUGCUCCCUGUGAGAGCACAUGGCAUCCAGAAAGGGGAGCAGGGAGAAGUCUGAAGCCCACAGAGGGGCACAGACCCUGCAAGGAAGACAAAUUUCUGGUAUUGGAAUUUCGACCCAGAUUAUCAGCAUUUCAAGGAUUACUUUGGAGCGCAACCUGGAUACUCACUGCCAGGUUUGCACCUUCAAGUUUCUUCCAGAGGGGUGUUUUCGCCACAGAAAGCUUAAUUGCUAGUUUUCCAAAACUUUUUGAGGGUCUUGUUUUGAUUAUUUUAAAUGCAAAGUUCCAGUAUCAUGUUUGAUUGUAAUAGCAGAUGCUGCUUUAUUCAAAAACGACAGUAUAACUGUCAUAAUUAUGGAAGGCACUGCUUCCGAUAAUUAUCUUCUAUAAAAAAACCACACCAUUUAUAGUGAACACUGUCACUGAUAAAUAAAUAAAGAAAUAAAUAUCUCAGUGCCAAACAAGAGCCAGCCUGCAAAAUGACAUCAGUCAAACAGAGUUUGGCCAGCAAGGGACUCGAUUUCACACAAGGCCCCUGAAGCAGCAAGGUCUGAAGUGCCAGUCUAAAGACAUUUCUGCUGCAGGACUUGCUGAGGUGCCAGCCAAGGAUAUCAAGGGGACAUUGAAAAAUCUUUGGGUCAUUUUCCCUGGGUAUUGAUACCUGCCUUGGCAGAAGCAAGCCUGCAAGAUGUCACUGGGACCUUGCUGUUGAGUAAAGGCAGGCAGGCACUUCAGAGCUUGCUGAUAAUCCAGCACUUGCGGGCAAUUACUACUACAUUGUUUAAUUUUUGAACUGCAGCUCCCUGCUAGAGAAGGGACCCUUGUUAACAAAUGUUCAGAGGAAUCCAUUCCCUGUUUUGUCACUAGGUUUAGGUGGCCAACAAUUACAAGCCUGAAUAGAUGAGGUACCUCCCCACUCAAGGUACCAGUUCAGGAAACACCUGAGUUCUUAGUUUUUAAGUACACUGGAGCAGCUGUACAUGACCAGUUUGGACUGAGGUUAGGUGGGAGCCUGGUGAGAGACUUCAUGGUAAUCUUACUACUGCUUUAAAACUGCCUCCUGUGAAUUUGUCAAGGUGAGAUUUAAAUUUUAUGCUCAACUUUGGUCAAAAAUGUUUUGCUGCCAGAACAUGGCAU